AUGAGCUACACCUAAGAAGAUUUAGAUCCUGAUCUUGAAGGCGCUACGGGCCGUAUUUACCGCUACGAAUAGCGCUAACAUUUGUUUAAAAACACUUGUAUCACAAGAAUAAGGAUAUUGUGUUAUGUUUUUAUCACUUCAAAGUUAAAUAUAGAAAUUUCUGUAAUAUAUUGGGUGCAGAAAUGAGAAUCUAUUAAAAAUAUCAUACCGCGAAAAGAAUAUGUGUGGAUUUGACCUUGACGGCAGACGCCACACUCACAACAACAGCAGCAGCAGCCAGCCAUCCACGUGAAGAGCAACAUGGAACUCCAAUGCCAGCAUGAACCAGCAUGAGGCUUCCCCAAAGGGGGAGGUCCUGCAACUCCUACAUUAGAUGCUAUUACGCAAUUCAUUUACGACAUCCUGGGGGAAGGCAAUGUGACCUUCCAAGGCAUCACCACAGGAUUGGACACAAACCUGGAAUCUGUCAAGGUGUUGGUAGUUGACAGAUUAGAAGAGGUUGAUUGUGCAGGAGCACCAACAACCACCAGCCUGCCAUGUCUUCCUCUGCCUGAUGCUGAAGGUCCACCACAGGACAGCUUUGUGAUGGAGGCUCUUGAAGAAGAGAGUGAGGUGCCACCCCCCAAG
rnacentral:misc_RNA from 1 species